CCUACGGGAGGCUGCAGUGGGGGAUAUUGCACAAUGGAGGGAACUCUGAUGCAGCGACGCCGCGUGAGGGAAGAAGGUUUUCGGAUUGUAAACCUCUGUCUUCGGUGACGAAACGAGACGGUAGCCGAGGCGGAAGCCCCUGCUAACUACGUGCCAGCAGCCGCGGUAAUACGUAGGGGGCAAGCGUUAUCCGGAUUUACUGGGUGUAAAGGGAGCGUAGACGGCUGUGCAAGUCUGAAGUGAAAGCCCGUGGCUCAACCGCGGAACUGCUUUGGAAACUGUAUAGCUUGAGUACUGGAGAGGCAGGCGGAAUGCCUAGUGUAGCGGUGAAAUGCGUAGAUAUUAGGAGGAACACCAGUGGCGAAGGCGGCCUGCUGGACAGAAACUGACGUUGAGGCUCGAAAGCGUGGGGAGCAAACAGGAUUAGAUACCCGAGUAGUC
rnacentral:rRNA from 1 species